rnacentral:lncRNA from 1 species
UGAGACAGGAAGGCAGGAUGUUGAUACGCUAGGUUAGCAACUUAUCAGGAGAUGGUUACGUGAGCUUUGCAGCAGGGUCUUUGAACAAAAGAGGCAACUGAGAUGCUGAAGGAGAGAAGGGGAGGGGGUUCUCUUUUUUUGUUACAUUAAGCAAAGGAAUUUUCAUAGUGUCUAGCCAAGCAUUAGACAGCUCCUUACUUCAGCAGGGAGUUUUCACAACUCCCGUUCCUCAAACGGAACUCCUUGUUUUUAUAAUACAAAAGACAAUGAACAAACAUUUAUUGUGUAUUACGGUCCCCACAUCCCAUCCCAAAGCAUGCAGGGGUUGAGCAGGAGCCACCUUUAUUCCAUGGGACAGGGGACAACGGGGACAGGGACAACAGGGACAGGGACAAUGGGGACAAUACGGACAAAGGACAUGGGACAAUGGGGACAGGAGACAAUGGGGACAAGGGGCAGGGGAAAUUGGGGGAUGGGGACAAGAGGGGACACGGGGAGGGGGGACAAAGUUGGGGGUGGUGGAGACAGGAGGAGGAGGGGACGGGGACAAUGGGGAUGGACCGGGAAUGGGGGGACACCUGGGGACAUGGGGGAACUUGGGGACAUUUUGGGGUGUUGGGGGCACCUGGGGACACCAGGGGACACCAGGGGAGACCAGGGGAUGUUGAGGGACACUUGGGGACAUGGGGGAUAUGGGGGACACCCAGGGGUGUUGGGAGACACCAGGGGACUUUGGGGACUUGGGGACAUUGGGGUCACCUGGGGAUUUGGGAACACCAGGGGACGUGGGGAUGUGGAGACUCCUGGGGGUCUUGGGGACACCUGGGGACACUUGGGGACACUGGGGACACACAGGGGAUUUGGGAAUACUGUGGGACGUUGAGGGACACCUGGGAAGGCCCGGAGACAUUGUGGGGUAACACGGGGAUUUGGGGACACCUGGGGAUGUCGGGAGACACCAGGGAACUUUGGGGACACCUGGGGAUUUGGGGACACCAAGGGAUGUGGAGAUGGGUGAGGGUCUUGGGGAUAACCAGGGGGUCUUGGGGACACCAGGGGACAUUGGGGCCAUUGGGGACGUCCCUCAGAUG